UACGUAGGGGGCAAGCGUUGUCCGGAUUUAUUGGGCGUAAAGAGCGUGUAGGCGGCCAGGUAGGUCUGCUGUGAAAACUCGAGGCUUAACCUCGAGCUGUCGGCGGAAACCAUCUGGCUAGAGUCCGGAAGAGGAGAAUGGAAUUCCCGGUGUAGCGGUGAAAUGCGUAGAUAUCUGGAGGAACACCGGUGGCGAAGGCGGCAUCCUGGACCGACACUGACGCUGAGGAGCGAAAGCCAGGGGAGCAAACGGG
rnacentral:rRNA from 1 species